GGCCUAAUACAUGCAAGUCGAGGGGUAGGGUUAGCUUGCUGACCUGAGACCGGCGCACGGGUGCGUAACGCGUAUGCAACCUACCUUCAUCAGGGGGAUAGCCCGGAGAAAUCCGGAUUAACACCGCAUGAAAUCACAGUACGGCAUCGUACAAUGAUCAAACAUUUAUGGGAUGGAGAUGGGCAUGCGUGUCAUUAGUUAGUUGGCGGGGUAACGGCCCACCAAGACCGCGAUGACUAGGGGAUCUGAGAGGAUGACCCCCCACACUGGUACUGAGACACGGACCAGACUCCUACGGGAGGCAGCAGUAAGGAAUAUUGGUCAAUGGGCGAGAGCCUGAACCAGCCAUGCCGCGUGCAGGAAGACGGCCCUCUGGGUUGUAAACUGCUUUUAUUCGGGAAUAAACCUACUUACGUGUAAGUAGCUGAAUGUACCGAAGGAAUAAGGAUCGGCUAACUCCGUGCCAGCAGCCGCGGUAAUACGGAGGAUCCAAGCGUUAUCCGGAUUUAUUGGGUUUAAAGGGUGCGUAGGCGGCCUGUUAAGUCAGGGGUGAAAGACGGUAGCUCAACUAUCGCAGUGCCCUUGAUACUGAUGGGCU
rnacentral:rRNA from 1 species